rnacentral:lncRNA from 1 species
GCCCUUGGUUGUGGCCCGGUCCGGUCCCAAUGGGCCCGCUCGCUUCUGGUUCCGGCCCGCGCAGGUUCCGCCCGAGGCUGGAUCGCCUGCGGCGCCGCCCGGAGACUCGGAGGCUCGGGGAAGAGGCCGGGGGCGCAGGCCGAGAGGUCUGUGUGGGUCAGGGCCGCCCGGGCUCGCUGCCCGCGGACUCUGACCUGCGUCGGCAGCCACGGCCAAUGCCGAUCCGGGCUCGAAACUUCGGGCGACCUGUGACCAACUUGGGUUGGUUUUGAACUACACAUCAAGUCCCUUCCAUGACAAGCCUCGGUGCACUGCUAACCGCUUGAAUCCUGUUCGAUCUCUUUCCCAGGCCCUGGCCCAGAGGUGCCAUAUGGUCCAGGGAAUGGCAGACCCGUGCCAGCUGGGAUGUGGGGAUCGUGUUUCUAGACACUAUCACAGGCCCAGGCUGAAGGCUUAUCCUGCAGAUGGCCACCUCCCACCCUCUCCAGUAGUGAUGCUCCCCGCCCUCUGCAGUCAGAUGGAUGUGGGUGAUCUCUAGGAUGCAGGCCCAGGCUUGUCCUGGCAGCCUGGCAGCCACCCCAUAGGUGACUGCAGACUGGACAUGGGGUGCCAGGGGCAGCAAAAGCCAAAAGCCUGGGGUUGGAGGCCCGGGGUGAGUGAAGAUCCCCCGAAAGGCUCUGGGCUAGGACUCCUCCUGAACCUGGGGGUCCCUCCCCUCAAGCCCUGGCUUCCAGGAGCCGCCUCGAAGCUGGGUCAGAACAGACUCCAGGACAUUCUUUCGUCUCCCUUGUAAAACCUAUCAGCGUUUUCACGCGCUUCCUGAGGAUCAAAGCCUUCCUGAUUGGAUGAGACUCCAUGGCCUGAGACUGAACACUUUUUUUCCUUCAGUUCUUUCCCUUUCUACUUCCCUCCCUCCUCCAACCCCAGUAGGCAAAAAAGCAGGCGGAGGACCGCGGAAUUCUGGCGGGUGAAACUUGGCCCGCGUCUGCAGGCCCUGCCUGUAAAUUUCCAGGGGCCGCGGGCGUGGCGGUAACUCCGCCCCCUGGCGGGCGCCUGACACACUGCACCCUGGGAGGCGGGGGGGGGGGGGGUGCCGCACUUCCGAGUUCAACGUUAAUAACACAUUUUAUAAGUUAA